rnacentral:rRNA from 1 species
AUUGAACGCUGGCAGCAUGCUUUACACAUGCAAGUCGAACGGUAACAGGCCGCAAGGUGCUGACGUGUGGCGCACGGGUGAGUAAUGCAUCGGAACGUGCCCAGGCGUGGGGGCUAACUCCUCGAAAGAGUAGCUAAUCCCGCAUCCGCUCUCUGGGUGAAAGCGGGGGACCGUAAGGCCUCGCGCGAUUGGAGCGGCCGAUGUCCGAUUAGGUAGUUGGUGGGGUAAAGGCUCACCAAGCCAACGAUCUGUAGCUGGUCUGAGAGGACGACCAGCCACACUGGGACUGAGACACGGCCCAGACUCCUACGGGAGGCAGCAGUGGGGAAUUUUGGACAAUGGGCGCAAGCCUGAUCCAGCAAUGCCGCGUGUAGGAAGAAGGCCUUCGGGUUGUAAACUGCUUUUGUGCGGAACGAAACGGCUCUGGUUAAUACCCGGGGCUAAUGACGGUACCGUAAGAAUAAGCACCGGCUAACUACGUG